UUAAUUGAAGCCAAAAAAGAGGCUUAUCAUUGUUAAUGAUAUCAUUGAAGUAUAAAAUUCCAAUUAAG
rnacentral:tRNA from 1 species